rnacentral:rRNA from 1 species
UGGCUCAGGAUGAACGCUGGCGGUAUGCUUAACACAUGCAAGUCGAACGGUCUCUUCGGAGAUAGUGGCGGACGGGUGAGUAACGCGUAAGAAUCUACCUUCAGGUUGGGGACAACCACUGGAAACGGUGGCUAAUACCGAAUGUGCCGAGAGGUGAAAGGCUUGCUGCCUGAAGAAGAGCUUGCGUCUGAUUAGCUAGUUGGUGUGGUAAAGGCGCACCAAGGCGACGAUCAGUAGCUGGUCUGAGAGGAUGAUCAGCCACACUGGGACUGAGACACGGCCCAGACUCCUACGGGAGGCAGCAGUGGGGAAUUUUCCGCAAUGGGCGAAAGCCUGACGGAGCAAUACCGCGUGAGGGAGGAAGGCUCUUGGGUUGUAAACCUCUUUUCUCAGGGAAGAAAAAAAUGACGGUACCUGAGGAAUAAGCAUCGGCUAACUCCGUGCCAGCAGCCGCGGUAAUACGGAGGAUGCAAGCGUUAUCCGGAAUGAUUGGGCGUAAAGGGUCCGCAGGUGGCAUUGUAAGUCUGCUGUUAAAGAGUCUAGCUCAACUAGAUAAAAGCAGUGGAAACUACAAAGCUAGAGUAUGGUCGGGGCAGAGGGAAUUCCUGGUGUAGCGGUGAAAUGCGUAGAUAUCAGGAAGAACAUCGGUGGCGAAGGCGCUCUGCUAGGCCAAAACUGACACUGAGGGACGAAAGCUAGGGGAGCGAAUGGGAUUAGAUACCCCAGUAGUCCUAGCCGUAAACGAUGGAUACUAGGCGUAGCUCGUAUCGACCCGAGCUGUGCCGUAGCUAACGCGUUAAGUAUCCCGCCUGGGGAGUACGCAGGCAACUGUGAAACUUAAAG